rnacentral:tRNA from 1 species
UGGUAGGAAAAGUCGGAAAAAGAUAUUUUUUGGCCUCCGGAGCCAAAGGCCGCAGGUUCGAAUCCUGCAUUGCCCACCA